rnacentral:rRNA from 1 species
UGGGGGAUAUUGCACAAUGGGCGAAAGCUUGAUGCAGCGACGCCGCGUGGGGGAUGAAGGCCUUCGGGUUGUAAACUUCUUUUGCUCUGAACAAGGCGCACCAUGGGGUGUGUUGAGUGUAGGGGUUGAUUAGCGCCGGCUAACUACGUGCCAGCAGCCGCGGUAAUACGUAGGGCGCGAGCGUUGUCCGGAAUUAUUGGGCGUAAAGGGCUUGUAGGUGGCUGGUUGCGUCUGUCGUGAAAGCUCAUGGCUUAACUGUGGGUUUGCGGUGGGUACGGGCUGGCUUGAGUGCAGUAGGGGAGGCUGGAAUUCCUGGUGUAGCGGUGGAAUGCGCAGAUAUCAGGAGGAAUACCGGUGGCGAAGGCGGGUCUCUGGGCUGUUACUGACACUGAGGAGCGAAAGCAUGGGGAGCGAACAGG